rnacentral:lncRNA from 1 species
AUUUGUGAAGUUGAUACGGAAUAUUUAUCAACAAGUUCUUGGUACCUUCCGAUGAACUUUUUUUUAGAAAAAGGACGAGACGUUCUUUGACACACCCCUGGUUCAUCAACUUUCAGCUCAGACACUGGUGACGUUUUACAAAGUCUGAAUAGGAGCUGCAAGCUCUUGAAUACCGAAUAAGUUGGGAAAUGUAUAUUCCAUAUGCAGGUGAAGUUGGU